UACGGGGGGGGCAAGCGUUGUUCGGAAUUACUGGGCGUAAAGGGCUCGUAGGCGGCCAACUAAGGUGGAUGUGAAAUCCCCAGGCUUAACCUGGGAACUGCAUCCGAUACUGGAUGGCUUGAAUCCGGGAGAGGGAUGCAGAAUUCCAGGUGUAGCGGUGAAAUGCGUAGAUAUCUGGAGGAAUACCGGUGGCGAAGGCGGCAUCCUGGACCGGCAUUGACGCUGAGGAGCGAAAGCUAGGGGAGCAAGCGGG
rnacentral:rRNA from 1 species